rnacentral:rRNA from 1 species
GACGAACGCUGGCGGCGUGCUUAACACAUGCAAGUCGAACGGUGAACUCCGCUUGCGGGGGGAUCAGUGGCGAACGGGGGAGUAACACGUGGGCAACAUGCCCUCAGCUCUGGGAUAACUCCAAGAAAUUGGGGCGAUUACCGGAUAUGACCGCUGACCGCAUGGUCGGGGGGGGGGAAGAGUUAUCGGCUGGGGGUGGGCCCGCGGCCGAUCAGCUUGUUGGUGGGGUAGUGGCCUGCCAAGGCAACGACGGGUGGCCGGCCUGAGAGGGUGACCGGCCACACUGGGACUGAGACACGCCGCAGACUGCAACGGGAGGCAGCGGUCGGGAAUAUUGCGCAAUGGGCGAAAGCGUGACGUAGCGACGGCGCGUGGGGGAUGACGGCCUUUGGGUUGUAAACCUCUUUCAGCAGGGACGAAGCGAAAGUGACGGUACCUGCUGAAGAAGCACCGGCUAACUACGUG